rnacentral:rRNA from 1 species
GACGAACGCUGGCGGCGUGCUUAACACAUGCAAGUCGAACGGUAAGGCCCUUCGGGGUCCACGAGUGGCGAACGGGUGAGUAACACGUGGGUAAUCUGCCCUGCACUUCGGGAUAAGCCUGGGAAACUGGGUCUAAUACCGGAUAUUCAGUUCCUGCCGCAUGGUGGGGGUUGGAAAGUUUUUCGGUGCAGGAUGAGCCCGCGGCCUAUCAGCUUGUUGGUGGGGUAAUGGCCUACCAAGGCGACGACGGGUAGCCGGCCUGAGAGGGUGAUCGGCCACACUGGGACUGAGACACGGCCCAGACUCCUACGGGAGGCAGCAGUGGGGAAUAUUGCACAAUGGGCGAAAGCCUGAUGCAGCGACGCCGCGUGAGGGAUGACGGUCUUCGGAUUGUAAACCCCUUUCAGUAGGGACGAAGCGCAAGUGACGGUACCUGCAGAAGAAGCACCGGCCAACUACGUG